GACAGAGGGUGCAAACGUUGUUCGGAAUUACUGGGCGUAAAGCGCGUGUAGGCUGCUUAGCAAGUCGGAUGUGAAAGCCCUGGGCUCAACCUAGGAAGUGCAUUCGAAACUGCAAAGCUUGAGUCCUGGAGAGGAAGGCGGAAUUCUCGGUGUAGAGGUGAAAUUCGUAGAUAUCGAGAGGAACACCGGUGGCGAAGGCGGCCUUCUGGACAGUGACUGACGCUGAGACGCGAAAGCGUGGGGAGCGAACAGG
rnacentral:rRNA from 1 species